UUCGAGUCGUUGAUUUCACACUGCCGAGAAAAGCCUCUAGAUAGAAAAUAGGUGCCCGUACCGCAAACCGACACAGGUAGUCAAGAUGAGAAUUCUAAGGUGAGCGAGCGAACUCUCGUUAAGGAACUCGGCAAAAUGACCCCGUAACUUCGGGAGAAGGGGUGCUCUUUAGGGUUAACGCCCAGAAGAGCCGCAGUGAAUAGGCCCAAGCGACUGUUUAUCAAAAACACAGGUCUCUGCUAAACCGUAAGGUGAUGUAUAGGGGCUGACGCCUGCCCGGUGCUGGAAGGUUAAGAGGAGUGGUUAGCUUCUGCGAAGCUACGAAUCGAAGCCCCAGUAAACGGCGGCCGUAACUAUAACGGUCCUAAGGUAGCGAAAUUCCUUGUCGGGUAAGUUCCGACCCGCACGAAAGGCGUAACGAUUUGGGCACUGUCUCAACGAGAGACUCGGUGAAAUCAUAGUACCUGUGAAGAUGCAGGUUACCCGCGACAGGACGGAAAGACCCCGUGGAGCUUUACUGUAGCCUGAUAUUGAAAUUCGGCACAGCUUGUACAGGAUAGGUAGGAGCCUUUGAAACGUGAGCGCUAGCUUACGUGGAGGCGCUGGUGGGAUACUACCCUAGCUGUGUUGGCUUUCUAACCCGCACCACUUAUCGUGGUGGGAGACAGUGUCAGGCGGGCAGUUUGACUGGGGCGGUCGCCUCCUAAAAGGUAACGGAGGCGCUCAAAGGUUCCCUCAGAAUGGUUGGAAAUCAUUCAUAGAGUGUAAAGGCAUAAGGGAGCUUGACUGCGAGACCUACAAGUCGAGCAGGGUCGAAAGACGGACUUAGUGAUCCGGUGGUUCCGCAUGGAAGGGCCAUCGCUCAACGGAUAAAAGCUACCCCGGGGAUAACAGGCUUAUCUCCCCCAAGAGUUCACAUCGACGGGGAGGUUUGGCACCUCGAUGUCGGCUCAUCGCAUCCUGGGGCUGUAGUCGGUCCCAAGGGUUGGGCUGUUCGCCCAUUAAAGCGGUACGCGAGCUGGGUUCAGAACGUCGUGAGACAGUUCGGUCCCUAUCCGUCGUGGGCGUAGGAAAUUUGAGAGGAGCUGUCCUUAGUACGAGAGGACCGGGAUGGACAUACCUCUGGUGUACCAGUUGUCGUGCCAACGGCAUAGCUGGGUAGCUAUGUGUGGACGGGAUAAGUGCUGAAAGCAUCUAAGCAUGAAGCCCCCCUCAAGAUGAGAUUUCCCAACUUCGGUUAUAAGAUCCCUCAAAGAUGACGAGGUUAAUAGGUUCGAGGUGGAAGCAUGGUGACAUGUGGAGCUGACGAAUACUAAUCGAUCGAAGACUUAAUCAA
rnacentral:rRNA from 1 species